GGGGAAAAAAGCACCCAUUUUCGUCCCCAAGCACCUAAUACCCGCUAGCCCAAAAUUUUCGUCCGUAACAUGUCACUCGUCUUCUGCAAAUCUUCUUCUUUCUCUCAAUUAAGUUGUCUUCUUCAAACCUUCUUCUCUCAGUUAAGAUUUUCGCAAUCUUCACUCAAAUUUCUUCAAAGGGCGAACUGUUCUUGCUGUUUCAUCUUCACAGUGCGAAAUGUUCUUGCUGUUUCAUCUUCAAAGUGCGAAAUUCAUCUUCACUCAAGUUUAGGGUUUGAAUCUUCACUCAAACUUGGGAAGUGACGAAUUGUCUGCCGCUAAAUUAUUCAGGGUUUGGAAAGUAGUCAAGCCCCUCUGUUCGCACAAAAACCCUCCCUCCUCUUCUUCUCCUUUUCCCAAUUUUACCCCACCUCCAUUGCCCAAGUAACCUAUAUUUCUUCUUCUUCUUUUUCUAAACAAUCCCACACAACAAGAAUCACAACUCCUCUCUCAAAUGGCCACGACUUUAUCCAAAGACUCCUCUCCAAACCCGUCAUGGUUCACUACCAAAAGCAAGCAAUGGUGUCAAUGGGAGUCUCAGGACGUGUGAUGGCAAAGGAAUAUGCACUUCCAUUAGCGGGAUUCAGGGUGAUUUUAACUUGAAGAACUUCCAAGAUGGUGUACUAUCGGCUGCUUUUAUGGUUGGACUGCUUGUGGCUUCUCCAAUUUUUGCUUCCUCGGCAAAGAGUCCAUUCUACAAUACAAAGUCUGCAGUGGACUGCAGUCUGUAGUUCACUGCAGUUUUGCGAAACUGCAGUCUGCAGUCCACUGCAGUUUUGCAAACUGUAUCGUGCAAAACUGCAGCAAAUAUGAGUGUGGUAGAAGCCAGAAAAGCUUGUCAAAGUCAAUAUGGGUGGAUGAAGGACUUCUUUGAUCAAAGAAGUCCUUCUCGGUACAAAAGAACCAAGCGCAGGGGUAUUGGGACCUAACUGGGAAGUUCUAUAUCGAGUCGCUAGGGUAAUACGACCUAGGACGUUUCAUCUCAAAAGACUUAAUGGUUUUGAUGUACUGCAAGCUUGGAAUGCUGAACAUUUGCGUCCUUAUUAUCAUUAAUUCUAAACUCUUGUAUAACUUAUGCGAUCUAUUUUACUUAUAAAUAUUGUGAGUAAGAUUAUUCCCAUUCUUAUUCAAGAAUUA